rnacentral:rRNA from 1 species
CGUUCCCGGGCCUUGUACACACCGCCCGUCACGUCACGAAAGUCGGUAACACCCGAAGCCGAUGGCCCAACCCGCAAGGGAGGGAGUCGUCGAAGGUGGGACUGGCGAUUGGGACG